GACGAACGCUGUCGGCGUGCUUAACACAUGCAAGUCGAACGGUGAAGCCCAGCUUGCUGGGCGGAUUAGUGGCGAACGGGUGAGUAAUACGUGAGUAACCUGCCUUUAACUCUGGGAUAAGCCUUGGAAACGGGGUCUAAUACCGGAUACGACCAACCCUCGCACGGGGUGUUGGUGGAAAGGGAUUUUGUACUGGUUUUAGAUGGGCUCACGGCCUAUCAGCUUGUUGGUGAGGUAGCGGCUCACCAAGGCGACGACGGGUAGCCGGCCUGAGAGGGUGACCGGCCACACUGGGACUGAGACACGGCCCAGACUCCUACGGGAGGCAGCAGUGGGGAAUAUUGCACAAUGGGCGCAAGCCUGAUGCAGCGACGCCGCGUGAGGGAUGACGGCCUUCGGGUUGUAAACCUCUUUCAGCAGGGGAGAAGCGAAAGUGACGGUACCUGCAGAAGAAGCGCCGGCUAACUACGUGCCAGCAGCCGCGGUAAUACGUAGGGCGCGAGCGUUGUCCGGAAUUAUUGGGCGUAAAGAGCUUGUAGGCGGUUUGUCGCGUCUGCUGUGAAAGCCCGGGGCUUAACCCCGGGUUUGCAGUGGGUACGGGCAGACUAGAGUGCAGUAGGGGAGACUGGAAUUCCUGGUGUAGCGGUGAAAUGCGCAGAUAUCAGGAGGAACACCAAUGGCGAGGGCAGGUCUCUGGGCUGUAACCGACGCUGAGAAGCGAAAGCAUGGGGAGCGAACAGGAUUAGAUACCCUGGUAGUCCAUGCCGUAAACGUUGGGCACUAGGUGUGGGGAACAUUCCACGUUUUCCGCGCCGUAGCUAACGCAUUAAGUGCCCCGCCUGGGGAGUACGGCCGCAAGGCUAAAACUCAAAGAAAUUGACGGGGGCCCGCACAAGCGGCGGAGCAUGCGGAUUAAUUCGAUGCAACGCGAAGAACCUUACCAAGGCUUGACAUAUACUAGAUCGCCUCAGAGAUGGGGUUUCCCUUCGGGGCUGGUAUACAGGUGGUGCAUGGUUGUCGUCAGCUCGUGUCGUGAGAUGUUGGGUUAAGUCCCGCAACGAGCGCAACCCUCGUUCUAUGUUGCCAGCACGUAAUGGUGGGGACUCAUAGGAGACUGCCGGGGUUAACUCGGAGGAAGGUGGGGAUGACGUCAAAUCAUCAUGCCCCUUAUGUCUUGGGCUUCACGCAUGCUACAAUGGCCGGUACAAAGGGUUGCGAUACUGUGAGGUUGAGCUAAUCCCAAAAAGCCGGUCUCAGUUCGGAUUGGGGUCUGCAACUCGACCCCAUGAAGUCGGAGUCGCUAGUAAUCGCAGAUCAGCAACGCUGCGGUGAAUACGUUCCCGGGCCU
rnacentral:rRNA from 1 species